ACCCUGCUGGAGUGCGGGGGGGACCUCCAGCCCCCCGGGGGGUCCCUGCGCCUCCUCUGCCGAGGGUCCAGACCUGGACAGGGGCUGGAGUUCAUGGCAGAGAUCAGCUACGAUCUUUCCAGAACCUACUAUGCCCCAUUGGUGCAGGGCCGGUUCAGGAUCUCCAGGGACAACGGGCAGAGCUCAGUGACGCUGACCAUGAACAACCUCAAGGACGAGGAUUCCGGAUCCUAUAUCUGUGCCAAAUGCGCUGAUCUCAUACCUAGACCCCCAUCUUGA